GUGGUCGGUUCGGCAGCACGGGUACUGUGUGUGGGUCGAUACAGAGAGGAUUUGCAUGGCCCCUGCGCAUGGAUGCCACGCCAAUCAGGGGCGUUCCAUUUUU